GCGGUAACAGAAAGUAGCUUGCUACUUUGCUGACGAGCGGCGGACGGGUGAGUAAUGCUUGGGAACAUGCCUUGAGGUGGGGGACAACAGUUGGAAACGACUGCUAAUACCGCAUAAUGUCUACGGACCAAAGGGGGCUUCGGCUCUCGCCUUUAGAUUGGCCCAAGUGGGAUUAGCUAGUUGGUGAGGUAAUGGCUCACCAAGGCGACGAUCCCUAGCUGGUUUGAGAGGAUGAUCAGCCACACUGGGACUGAGACACGGCCCAGACUCCUACGGGAGGCAGCAGUGGGGAAUAUUGCACAAUGGGCGCAAGCCUGAUGCACCCAUGCCGCGUGUGUGAAGAAGGCCUUCGGGUUGUAAAGCACUUUCAGUCAGGAGGAAAGGUUGAUAGUUAAUACCCGUUAUGUGUGACGUUACUGACAGAAGAAGCACCGGCUAACUCCGUGCCAGCAGCCGCGGUAAUACGGAGGGUGCGAGCGUUAAUCGGAAUUACUGGGCGUAAAGCGUACGCAGGCGGUUUGUUAAGCGAGAUGUGAAAGCCCCGGGCUCAACCUGGGAACUGCAUUUCGAACUGGCAAACUAGAGUGUGAUAGAGGGUGGUAGAAUUUCAGGUGUAGCGGUGAAAUGCGUAGAGAUCUGAAGGAAUACCGAUGGCGAAGGCAGCCACCUGGGUCAACACUGACGCUCAUGUACGAAAGCGUGCGGAGCAAACGGGAUUAGAUACCCCGGUAGUCCACGCCGUACACGAUGUCUACUAGAAGCUCGGAGCCUCGGUUCUGUUUUUCAAAGCUAACGCAUUAAGUAGACCGCCUGGGGAGUACGGCCGCAAGGUUAAAACUCACAUGAAUUGACGGGGGCCCGCACAAGCGGUGGAGCAUGUGGUUUAAUUCUAUGCAACGCGCAGAACCUUACCUACACUUGACAUACAGAGAACUUACCAGAGAUGGUUUGGUGCCUUCGGGAACUCUGAUACAGGUGCUGCAUGGCUGUCGUCAGCUCGUGUUGUGAGAUGUUGGGUUAAGUCCCGCAACGAGCGCAACCCCUAUCCUUAGUUGCUAGCAGGUAAUGCUGAGAACUCUAAGGAGACUGCCGGUGAUAAACCGGAGGAAGGUGGGGACGACGUCCAGUCAUCAUGGCCCUUACGUGUAGGGCUAC
rnacentral:rRNA from 1 species